AACGACUCUCGGCAACGGAUAUCUCGGCUCUCGCAUCGAUGAAGAACGUAGCGAAAUGCGAUACUUGGUGUGAAUUGCAGAAUCCCGUGAACCAUCGGGUCUUUGAACGCAAGUUGCGCCCGAAGCCUUCCGGCCGAGGGCACGUCUGCCUGGGCGUCACGC
rnacentral:rRNA from 1 species